GGUGUAUAAAAGCUCGCGCUUCGCGCUAUGACGCCCUCUUGAAGUCGUUGCUUCGCUUGUGGAGAAACGCUUCCAACAUGAGAGCGAAGUGGAGAAAGAAGCGCAUGCGCAGGCUGAAGCGUAAAAGGAGAAAGAUGAGGCAGAGGUCCAAGUAAACAGCACCCUGUCUGCUGUAGCUGGGAUCCUGAUCAUCUUGGAUUUCCCUCAGUGAGUCUUGCAGAGACCAACUGGAGAGGUGCUGUUCAUCCUUCGCCUAAGAAGAAGCUGUCUACACGACAUCCAUCCAAGCCAGCCAUCACCUUGACGGAAGAAGUGUCCUCUUCCUGGCUGCCCAGUUGGUUCUUGGUCUUGAUGGACUUGCAAACUCUGGACAUUCCAUACUUCUCAGCUCAGCAUCUUUUUGUUAAUACCUCCAAUAAAAUGUUUAAAACGUG